rnacentral:lncRNA from 1 species
UUUCAGCUUUUUACCGUUUGAUGUUCACGUUCAGUUUGGAGUUAUACUUACCUGUCAUCAUUUGUAAUCAUUCAUUGAACACCAGCAUACCUUUGUUAUUCAUGCUACAUUGUGUUAAUAGAGUGGAUUAUAUGACAAUAAAUAAAACGGUUAUCUUUAAUGAAGUCCAUUAUUUAAUGCCCGCAAAGAAUAGAUGGGAGUCAUUACAGCUAGCAUGCUGAUGUCCAGAUAAACAUAUUGCAUAGAUCCAAAUAUACGUAUAUCGAUAUGGAAUUUAUGUGAUUUAAAAAAUCUACAUUUUAGAGUGCCAUGGAUUUUAAGCUGAAACUAUUCGUAAUUUGAACAAUCGUUUUGUGGGCACGGUCAAAUUUGAUUGAUAUUUAAGUACGCAUUGCUUUUGCGCCAAUUCUUAAAAGUUGUAGUUUUUCAUUUGCGCCAAAAAAUAAAUAUUGCUUCUGCGCCAUUGUGCAGGUAAACUAAUUAAAAAGUGAAAAUAUAGAAAAUUUAAACAAUAUCUACGGACACACCAGCUGUCAUCAGGAGAUAGGAGAAAAAAAAACAGAU